rnacentral:lncRNA from 1 species
CUGGCUGGGUUUCUGAUUGCAAAACUAGGGGGUUUCCUGCAGCUGGCAUGUUGGAUCUUGUGCCCAGCUCGCUUGUGGCUAGCCUGUCUUUUCUUGGGUUUUUGCUUCCAAGAAGUAAGAUCACAAACACCCAUGCACUAUGCUGAAGUAUUUUGCUCAAGGAGGAAUCAAGACUAACCAGUUUCCAUUUACACAUUCUGAAGUGCUUCCAGUAGAAAACCCAACCAACUGGAUGGUUUUACACGCGGUUGCUUUGCGUCCUUUGAAUGAAAUCAUUCACUGCUUUACAGAAGGCCCAUCACACAUCAUUUUGAGUACUCAACAAGAGGUAUUUUUUUGCUGCAUUCAGACCUCUUGCACAAAGGGGAACUUUACUCUUCUUUCAGUAUUAGCAUCGUGCCUGCAGAUAGAAAUCAUUUUGCCUUCAAUUAAUCUUGCUGCGCACCAGUGGAGCACCACCGACUUCAAGUUUAUUCCAAACUUGCAAGGCAGAGGAGAACAGAUUUCACUACCCUGAAGAUACAUUUCCCGGUAGCCUGCAGCCGCUAACCAUAAACCCAUCCAGACUAUUAGUGCAUAGCACCUCAUCUACCUAGCCAUUCAUUUUACCAUUUCCUUACCCCAGUGCACUCUCUUUGAAGCUUUUGUUCGUCUUUCUUUCACCUGCACGCAGCAUAAGGCAUUCUGGCCAGCCCACCUGGCAGGGACCCCUUGGGGCAGCUGGCUGGGGGCUGCAGUGCCCCUCGAGGGACUGCCAGCUUGCCCUGCCACCUUUGCUGGUGCUCGGAGAAACAGAGGAAAGCUUCCCCUGUGAAUUUUAUAACAUCAACUGGAUCUCAAAAUUUUAGGCUUUGCCUAUUUGUCAGUCUCUUUUUUAUUCAUGGACAGAAGAAACUCAUUGAAAAUAUUCAAAUCCAAGAAUUUAGCCCUAGUGUGCAUCUGGAAACAAAUAUAGCUGUUAAGAUAGUGGAAAUUACUGUGACAAGACCCCUGUGGACUAAUUAGUAGAGUCAGCAAACAAACAUUGGCUUCUUGACAGAGAUCGUUUUUCUAACUUUUUUUUUUUUUCCCCUCUGAGAAUCUGACAGUUCCUCCAGCAUAUUUCUUCACCUCCUAAUAUCGUGAAAGGCACCAUUACUGCCUCCUGUAUCCUUAGCACCCACCAAUUCCAAUCAAGAUAGCAGCAAUGCGGAUGGAUACCCACUGUCAGGCUUUCCUGCAUCUGGAAGCAGCACAACGAGGGCAAAGCUGGUACCUAUAUGUCCCUUUCCUUCCGUGGGUGUACCCAGGUGGCACAAGAAGUGAAAAGCUUGAAAGACAGUCCCAUCUUUACCUGUCACUCUCUGUGUCACCACAGGGCAACACCUCUGUGGCUGGUGCAGUGCAGGUGAAGGAAGGUGAGGGGAGGCUGUGUGGUCCCAUUUGCAGACGUGACUGCCAAGUGUCUGUGUGAGCACGUGUCCUGAUGCUACAGGCAGGAUGCAGACCUGCUGCCACUGCGGAUUUGCAGCAGUUAAUAUCUUUAUGAAAUGUCUGUAAAAUGCUCAAGCUGAAGGAUCUUCCCCGGUAACUUGCUGAGGACAAGAUUCAAAGCCCAGCAAGACUGCGAAAAACAUCUCCAUAGGCUUUGGUUCUCUUUGCAUAUGAUGCCUGGCUGCAAAAUGGAAAGAAAGGGCAGAGCGAUAGCGAAUCUUUGAGUGAAGGCUGACCUGGAAAUACCCAACACCCCUUCAGAUUUAUAAUAACAGAUGACAUGGGAAACAAAACAGCAGCCAAAAUCACCAUCAAGCACAGAAAUGGGUUUCCACAUUUAUUGUAACGAGAAGGCAAACUCGUUUCUAUACAGCGGCCUCCCUGAGGCAUCUGGGAGCAGGUCCUCCACCUUCCAAAUCCUCACUGGACUGUCUCAGUGCUCUGACCACCCUACCUGCGGCUGGGGCGAGCUUCAUGAGAAUGAAAAGAAACAAGCCAUAUCUAAAAUGUAAAUGCUGCAGAGGGUGUCUUUUCUGCUCCAUCAGCAAUGUCUGCAACACCAGCCUUUGAGUCUCAGAUUUGCUUACUGACGAUAGCCCUUCAAGUGUUAUGGUCCUGCUGUAGUUAAGCCAUGGUUUUGCUGGAAAAGUGACUCCAGCAAAAUAAAAAAAAAAAAAAAGUAUCAUGUGAUUCCAUAUGACUGCAGGCCAGAUUAUAUCCUCAAUUACACUUGUACAACCCUAUUAAAUACCAGUGGGGUUGCACAGGUGUAACUGGAAGCACGACUGCCCUGCACAAUCUUAAACACUGCAGGGCAGAAGCGAGAAGACGCCAUCCACCUCCACAGCUCCAGCCAAGCAGGAAAGCACAGCUACAGCACCGCAAAAAUGUGCCAGAUAUCCGAGUUUCCACCUUAAGUCCUCUCAGAUCUUACCUGGGAAUGUGACUAGUGAUUCUCUCUAUACAUACCCAUACAAAAAGAGGGAAUAUUGAAUAAAUAAUAGUCUUUUCUACAAAAACAAGCAAACAGCGACAACAAAAAGAUUUGAGCCCAUACUUGAAUGGUUUACUGGAAAGAUUACAAGUUUCCAUACCUGCUUUUCUUUGCAUAUCAGUGGUCUAUUUUUUUCUCAUAGCCUAAGCAACAAGGGGACACAUCAAGCAAGGGUUAGCUUAUAAAAUUAGAGACAUUUUAAAUACACUUUGCUAAGAUAUCUACGCUGAGAUGUCUGGUGUUAAAAACAAUAGAGCAAAAGAUUUAAAUGACUGAAAGCUAUUUUAGAAUAAAUGUGACUUGUAUCAGUGGCGUACACAAGAAGAAAAUAAAGGAAAAUUGCACAAAUGGAAAGCAUAAGCUGUGAAUAUCAAUAGACUACAAUAUGUAGGCUUGCAUAUUAUAGCUGCCAUUGCUCUAUUUGGCUUCAGAAACUGAAUUAUUUAGGAUAAUUAUAAUUACAGCUGGUAAGAAUUUCCACGUUCAGGGAAAUGCUAACAUUUUAACAUUUGUUUUCAUGCUGAAUCAGAAUUUAAAAAAAAAAUCAAAUUCCUCUCAGAG